AAUGAUUGAUGAAGCACAUGCUCAGAAUGGAAAAAUAAAGGCUUUUACAUCUUUCUGUGGUGGACUUCCAUCUCCAGCUGCCGCAAACAAUCCACUGGCCUACAAGUUCAGGUAAAUUCAACUAUAGUGACUAGUAGUGUAACAAGGUCUCCACGCCUGGAGCUUGUGGCACAAUAUUGCAUGAAACAAGUUUUACCAGCAAUUCUGAUUGGUAUUUGUCUUGUUCUUAGUUGGAGUCCAGCAGGUGCCAUCCGAGCAGGAAGAAAUCCUGCUGUCUACAAAUUUCUUGGAGAGACCAUCAAUGUGGAUGGUAAGUUAGUCUCGUAUCUCUUCAAUUGCCCAGAGAAAGGGAGCACAUUUCAAUAGACUGGUUUACCCACACAAAUUUACUGAACCAAAGGCUAACCUUAUACUUAAUCCAUCGGGCCAAUUGCACCCCUGCUGCUGUGAAGAUC
rnacentral:lncRNA from 1 species